rnacentral:tRNA from 2 species
UAUAAUAAAAAUUUAUAAAUAAGGAAAGAGAGGGAUUC